rnacentral:tRNA from 1 species
GGUGAAUUAGCUCAGUGGUUAGAGCUUAGGCAUUGUGACCAAAAGGUCCCGGGUUCGAAUGCUCCAGAGGCAGAA